UUGUCACUUUCUACCAGCAUUGCUCUUGGUACUAGAAGUUCCAAACAGUCAAAAAUGUAUUUCAUACAGCCUGACCGUUGUUCUGGUUCAACAUUACAUGUUCUGUUGGCACCGGGUGUUAGACGGAUGCAGUGUGACUGGACCUUGGUUCAGCAGCCUCGGUACAUGAGUUCCGUCUAAGAAAGAAUUCCAAGCUAAGACUAAAACUGUAAGAGGAAGUUUAUUUAGAAAGUCACAGAAGUAGGAGUAGUGAGCUGUAGAAGAAAUUGGCCUAGGAAACAGAUUACAGGGGCAGAAAGGGCCCUUGGAACUCGGAAGGAAGAAACAAGGAACACGGGCUCCUGUGGGAAGAAGCGAGGGAAAGGCAUGGGUGUGCGCAUUCUCAGAAAAGAGCCUCUCUGGGUCCUCCAUCCUAAGUAAGGGCUUUUAAGGGCUGGGAUUUUAUGAGAGAUUUCAGGGGAGGAUCUCAACAGAAUAUUCAUCAGCUUUCCAGGUGUGUCCUUUCAGGAUUGUAGUCCCUACUGAUUGGUCAGCGCCAGGGUCAGCGGUCAUCACAGUUGGCCCUGAGGUCAGCCAUGGCAUUGCUUGUCUGGUUUCACCGCUUUGCCGGCCCAGAGCUGAAACACAGCUGAGGCCCAGCUGUUAUCCCCAGGGGAGUAAAUGCUUAAGGGGGUGGUUGUGCAAGGGCCCACAUGGGAGGCUCCAAGGGCCCACACAAGGCCACUCUUCAGCUCCUUGUUCCUCCUCCAGGGGGUUCUACUGCAUGACUUAGCAACGUGCCAGGGGAGGGAAGGUCAGGGGAAGGUCUGAGCCACGUGAGCAGCGAUGUGAAAGGUCUGGGGGUCCAGUGAUAUGCUAGAGGAGGAAGGGUUAGCCUGGGGGCUAGGUCUUUGUUUUCCCAGCUGUGCCUGUUGCCGGGCACCCAGGGGCUUUCGACACUGGUGACCUACACCUGGCCCAUCGUCCUUGGUCUGCUCCUGUCUAAACCGCCUACCGACUUUUCUUUCUUGCCUUGUUUUAUGUGCAUAAAGAAGAGCUAAGGUGCCAAUGUCAUUAGCUUCAUUACUGAUAUUGUUACACUCAACUCUGUAAAAAAAAAAUUUCAUAAUCCCAGGAGAUGAAUAGGUACUCCCUUGGAAUUAAAUUGUUAUACCCAGCAGCUGAGGGGAUGAGAAGAGCAUCUUCUACUCUAAAUGGGAUUGUGGUGCUGUGGAUAGAAACGUGUACAUUUUCAUCUGUCUGUGAUAAAAGUUGGCUUCUAGUGUUUUAUAUUGUAGUUUCAUGUUUGAGAUUUCAUUCCAUGAUCAUUCGUUCACUCACAUGUAUUUUUAUUUUUAGCUCUAAGCGAAAGACAGGAGGCCUAAGGCUGGCAGUGAGGUGGUUUUGAGGCCCCCUGGUUUCUGACCAGAAGGUGUGUGCGGUCGCCUCGUCCUGAAGCACUGCAGACAGAAUGGUAAUGGCAGAGCCGAAGAGAGAGAGGCCUUCAUGUUUGUCCAUGCCUGUCUUCCUACCCACCUCUUUCCUUGUUAAAAUUUAAAGAAUUUUUUAAAUUUUGUGAACAAAAGGUUUGCAAUUUUUUUUGGUGAUGGCAUGUUCAGAAUCUUGGAUCCCUAAGUUGAAUAUGUUGGAAAUAUUUUAGGAACCCUGGAUAUUGUUGUUUUUGUAUCUAUAAUGACUUAAUAGGUGAAUCAGUAGAUUUAAUAAAAAGUAUAUAAAGAAUAGGAUUCUAGUUUUGUGUUUCUAAGUUGGCAUGCAUGUCUCAAAGUCUCCGCUCUCAGUGUCAGGUCGAGUUCCAGAGACAGUUAUCUUUUGAAGAUUUGGGGUGUUUUAUUUUCCAAGGCAGUUGAUAUAAUCCUUCCAUGACGAUUUGGUCAGUUUCUUUUUCUUUCUAUCUUUCAGUGUAGCUUACUUAGAUCAGAGGUGAUUAUAGAUCAAGAAGAGAAAAAAAAUCAUCAAGUGGAAAAUCUUAAAGAGGGUAAAUUAUAAAAUUUCAACUUGGAAAUGGUCUCAGAAUGACCUAUGUUAGAAUAUGUGAUUUAUACCCAAAUUAUAUCCAAAUAAAUAUACCUGUGGUGAAAUGCUGCCAAUUUUUGGAUUAGAUAUUAUUAUGUGGGACGGAAGUGCUAAUGAAAUGUAGCCAACUUUCUUUUUUAGAUGUGGGUUGUUUUUUUUGUUUUGUUUUUUUUUUUUUUUGGCUUAUGAAUUGGUGAAUGAAUUGGUGGAAAGUAAAAUGGCCAAAGGGUAGCUAGUGUGAAUGAGAAGGAAAGGGAACAAAAUUUUAAUCGCCGAGGAUUAGUUCCCCUAAAAAACUAAAAGUUGGCUACAUUUCAAACUCAAAACACUAAUUCAAAAGAAUAUAUGCACCUCUGUGUUCUUGCAGCAUUAUUUACAAUAGCCAAGAUUUGGAAGCAGCCCGAGUGCCCAUCAGUAGAUGAGUGAAUAAAAAGCUGUGGUACAUUUCUGUAAUGGAAUACUAUGCAACAGUGAAAAGAAGGCAAUCUUACCUUCUAUGACAGCAUGGGUGGAUGGACCUCUGGAGUAUGAUGCUAAGUGAAAUAAGCCAGUCAGAAAAAGACAAAUACCAUAUGAUUUCACUUAUAUGUGAACAAAAUAAACUAACAAACAAAAUAGAAACAGACUCAUAAAUAUAGAGAACAGACUGAACAGCUGUCAGAGGGGAGGGUGGUUAAGGGGCUGGGUGAAAAAGUGCAGGGAUUAAGUGAUAAACAAGAAAAGAAAACCUCAUAGACACAGACACCAGUGUGGUAAGGGGGUUGGGGGAGAAGAAGAGGAUAAAGGGGAGAUAAAUGGUGAUAGAAGGAGACUUGGCUUUGGGUGGUGAACAUACAACAUACAGAUGAAGCAUUAUAAAACUGCAUACUUGAAAGUUGUGUAAUUUUAUUAACCAAUGUCACCCCAAUAAAUUCAAUAAAAAUUUUAAAAUGACUUCAACAUAGAAACCCUGCCUGAGUUUUCAGCCUGUAAAUUUCAGACUCAAGACUACAAUGUCAGCUCUUCCCUAAAUUUUCACCCAGCCCUCCUAUGCUGCAUGGUUUGGACUAGUCAGCCCCCACAGUUGUGGGGCAUAAGCCAGUUCCUUAAAAAUCAAUCUCUUAUUUAUCUUUCUAUACAUACAUACACACACAUACACAUUUGUCUGUAUCUAUAUACACACAUAAACACUUUCUACACAUACACACACACUGCUGUAGACUCAAUAUUUGUGUCCCCACACCCCCAAAAUUUACAAAUUGAAACCCAAUCCAAAACGUGGCUGUAUUUGGAGGUGGGGCCCUCAGCGGUUGAUGAGCUCUGGCGAGUGGAACCCUCGUAAGUAGGAUCCAUGCCCUGGUAACAGGUCCCGUAGCGCUCCUGUGCCUCCUGCCGAGUGAGGCUGGGGAGAAGACAGCUGUCUGGGAGGAAGUGGGCUCUCGCCAGAAACCACAUCCUCUGGUGCCUUGGUCUUGGACAUCCCAGCCUUCAGAAUUGUGAGAAAUAAAUGUGAGUUGUUCAUGAACAAUAACAGAAAAACAAUAAAAUAACUAAAAAAGAAACUUGGCCAUAUCUCAUAUACCUCAGCACACUGUUUUAAAACUGUAGGCUCCUAUCAUUUGGCCCCGGGUGGGAAGACCCGGCUGUCCUUCACCAUCACAGCGGGCGAGACCUGCACCCGAUUGCGAAGCCAGGUGGUUCUUGGUGACUGCACUGGUGACUGUGCUGGUGUCUGUGGUCGUCUUUGGUCGUCUUUUUCUCUGGCCUGGCCCGGCUGGAAGGAAGAGAUCUGAGAAACACUCUGGGGCAGAUAGUUAUAUUGAUGGUCAAAUGUGACUAUACUGCCUCCCCACUCUUUAUUUUUCAGCUAUGGUUUGCACUCAACACAUUUUUAGUGUUAUUUCAGGUGUACAGCACAGCGGAUGGACAUUGAUACAGGUUACAAAGUGUUCCCUCCAGUAACUCGAGUGCUCACUUGGCACCUCUCUCCCUACUCUUGACCAGAAAGAUUGAUUUUUUAUAAGGAUUUUAUUUAUUUAUUUUUAGAGACCGGGGGAGGGAAGAAGAGAAACAUCAAUGUGUAGUUGCCUCUCAAGUGCCCCCAACUGGGGACUUCACCCGCAACCCAGGCAUGUCUUCUGACUGGGAAUUUAACCGGUGACCCUUCUGUUUCACAGACCGGUGCUCAGUCCACUGAGCCACACCAGCCAGGGAAGAGACUGAUUUUUAAGACCUAAUCAGAGCAAGUGGAAAAGGAUUGAAAGGAGAGGAUGAAGAGGAUUUAAGGAACUAUAGAGCCUGAGUGGUAGCUCAGUAGAAAGUUAAUGUAUCUGUUUAUUGCGAGUUUUAUUAUCGGUAGGUUAUCCGGUAAUACAGAAAUGGAUAUAUAACACAUUUUUUGUAACAUUUCUAUUAGAGGACUGUUAGAAACUAAGUAGGCUACAUCACAGCUUCUACCCCCUUUUGCCUUGUUUUCUUUUAAGGGGAAUUGGCUGAUAGAGAACUUAAUAGAUGGCACAAUGAAAACAGAUUUUUAAAAAUCAAUGUGCAUGGCCUGUUUAGUGCUUUCGCAUCAUAACUGGCUUUUUAAAAACUCUCCUCCUGUGAUACUUUUGUCAGUGGAGGUGUUUCCUCUUAGCCAGUUCUAGCCACAGUAGUGCCCGGGCCUCAGCAUUGGCUCUACUCAGGAGGAGGAAGACAAGCAGGAAGAAAACUCGGUUCCUACUGGAAUGAGUAUUUCAAAGACCUGUUUAGAUUCUGAACACUGAGUACAAAUGAAAUAGACCCAGGAAAGGGAAAAAUUUAAGAGCCUAAGAAUAAAAACUGAUGAUGGGCAGUAAGUUCAUGUAUGAGUACCUAAGGGGAGGGAAUGCUUCAUUGGAGUUCUGGGUGGUGUGCGGAGUCCCUGGGGCAGGAGGUGCUGUGAUCGUCACGUGGGGCGCUGGCACUGGUACUGCCGUAUGUUAAGGGUAGUGGCAGGUAAACUUGGGGAAUACCAGUGUGUUUCCUCACAAUGUGUGUGAUUUCGUUCUGUGUUAUCAAUGGGUAUGUGACUCAGAGAAACAAUUCAAAGUAAAUAGGUAAUCAGAAAAAAUUAUAAGAGUAGGUGUUCUAUCCCUGUCAUAUAACUUUAGAAAAUAACGUAGAUUGAUGAGCAUAGUAGAGAAUCGAUGUCAUGAAUAUAAUCAGUAUUUGAUGGUUGCUUUCCAGAAACUUCUAGGUAAAACCUUGAAUUUGUUGAGUGUAGGCCUCAGUUGUAAUGUAACAGCAUUUUAUUAUGUGCCUCAUGGGACAAUCUGUACCUUCUUGGGUCACUCCAUUUCUUAAGUCUGGUACAUCACUGUGAAUUCAGAAAUCUGACUCACUUCGUCCAAGGGUGAACGGCUCUUUGUAAGUUCAGGUACAAUAAGUACAUAGGGACAGACAGAGAAAGUGAGCCUGAAGUCAUGGUUCUUUGCAGCUUGGAGUUUUAGACCCUCUUGAAUAUCCGAAGACAGCUGUGGGUCUUUUCCCCAACAAGACUCAUUUCUGAGGUUAAAGGGACAGCCCUCAGUUGUCAGGUCAGGAAGCCCUGAUCUAAAAGAUGACCUUCAUUUUAUUUCUGCCCUUGCCCUGACUUUAUUGUCACUCUGUAGUGGUUCCCUACAGCCUUUGAAUGGUCCCAAAUCUUGAAGGUCAAGGUUUACACAUUGCCUUACACAUUGAACUUAAGCCACAAGUGCAAAGCUUUGUAGUGUGAUGCAGCAAAAAUUCUCUGCAAAGGUCUGCCCCCCUAGUACAAGUGAUGAAAAUGGAGCCCAAGGCAUGGGGAGGUGGCCCGGCCGUCCCAGAGAGGAGCCACCUCUGGCUGGGCGGGGGCGGCCACUUCAGAGUAAGCUGAGUAUUAAUGUUUUGUUUUUAAAAAUGAGCAAAUUUCUUGUAAAAUACCUAAUUGCUAUAAAGGUUUUUUAAAUCUCAGUAUGACAUUAUGUCUUAGGAUAUCAAAUUCAUGGUGUAAAAUGGUUCUUCAAAUCAAAAUAGUAACUAAAUUUGUAAUUCUAUUAUUUUGUGACUGAAAUUUGUAGAACAUUUUCAGGAAAAUUGUUGAGUUUGCAGGUAAUUUGUUCUUUAUUCCUUUUAAGUUUCCCGAAUGUAUGAUUUCUUAAUUUUAUUAGUCCAUUUAUAAGUUUAGAGAAAAUUGUCUUCAGCUUCUAUUUUGACAUGAAAUGGAUGCAUUUGAUUUCUGUUAUUAGAAAUGUGUUUCAACAAAACUCCGUAUGAGUGGCUCCGAUCUACAGUGUGCAGUCUCCGCUCACCUGCUCAUUGCGUCAUUCAUUGGGACGUUUUCUGCAAAACACAGCUUCACCGAGGAGGUCAUCCUUGAAAAAUCAAGAAAUCUGAAGAAACUCACUUGGGAACUGAUUAGAGAGAUCGAAGAGCAUCAUCAGAUGGAUGAUACAGCACAUUCUGGAAACAUCCUAGACAUCAUUGCUUUGUACUCGACGUAUAAUCUGACUGUCUUUUAUGAAUGGGACCUAUAGAGACACAGAGUGACCUCAUAAAUGUGUCUUUAAUGUAAGAAAAACACGACUCUAGCCUUUAAACAUUUCUGUCAGUAUGGUCUACUCGGGAUUGCUUACACUAGUGGAGUGGAGCCUGGGCCAUUCAGCUUGCUCGAAAGUUAAAUAUUGGGCUUCUGGAUGUGAAGGUAUUUUUGUAUUUCUUUUUCAAACACGGUGUUUGGGGCCUUGGCAGCGUGUGCCACACAAUUCCACAUCCCCUGGGGGAGGAGCCUGAGCAUCUGUGGCCCGAUGCUUGUUCUCUGCUCCCCCUCUUUUGUGCUGUCAACUUGAAUGUGGGGAAACCCCUGAGUGAUAGGCUUCCCACACCGAUCAGAAUCCGUUAGGUCUGUCCUGCUUAUCCUUCUGCAUAGUUUUAUUGCAUUUCUUUUCCACCUCUUCUAAGUGGUGCCUGAUUUUAAUCCCUUUGAUUUAUAACCACUGUUCAAGCUGCUGCUUCCCAUUGUCCUGUUUUCUGCCUGUGGUGGGAGGUGUCCAGUUGCCUUACUGUAAAGAGUCCACUGUAUUCUUUCAUUUCCAUCUCCCUCCCUGCAUCUUCUCAUGGGAAAAUAAAAUGGAACUCAACUUAGAGAUUUUGCCUAUCUAAGGUUUGCUUAUAAGAAAGUUCAUUGCCGUGUGUUUAAAAUUGAGCUUUUCCACUGUGGUGUGGACAGUAGUCUCCAUUGGACACCCGCUCGGUGCUGGUACUCUGCUGGGUGCGGGUGUCCACUCCUCCUCUCCAUGCUCUGUUCUCUGGAGGCCAGGGAUGGACCUCCUCGUGUCUCCGGCGUGGAGGGAACCAGAGCUGAAGUCUCUGUAAGCUUGCGGUGCCUGGAGUCGUGAGCCAGUGAGGUAGUCGAGGAGAUCGGCAGGUUCCCCUCCGGAUGCUAGUAAAAACAAAUCAUGUGCAGAGAAAGUGGUCAUGCCAAUAAGAUUUUUUAAAAAUUAUUUUAUUGUGGUUUAAUUACAGUUGUCUGCAUUUCCCCCCCACUGCUCUCCCCCUCAAUAAGAUUUUUAAAGCAAGAUUUGUCAAAAGAAAAAAAAGUGUCCUACAUGAACCCACUUACAUUGGCUAUCCGGGUGUGUCUUACUUAAAAAAACAAAAACAAAAAAAACUUUACCAAAUUACCCUGACACGUUUAUAAUGUGCAUUACUCUAAAUGUAGAACACAUGCAAAUAUGUUUUAUGUAAAAGUAUUUACUGGCUCUCUAAUAAAUAUUAAACUU